GGGCCCGAACCAGUUUCGACGGGGUGGAGAAGGAUUGGCAAGCGAGCCGCGGACCCUGAGGACCGCGUUACCAACAGGGAACCAAACGUAGCUGCGGAUUCUCGCCAGCUCGCUCUCGCCGCCUAGUAAGCGGAUCUGAGAGUCGUCGGCCUUCCCUUUGGAUCACGAGGGAGUUCACCGGCGUCGCAUAGUGAUCCUGGCUCCGAGACAGGGUUCCUCGGUCAAGGGGCGAGAUUGCAGGAGGAGCUGGGGGCGGAGUGUUUUGCCGACGAUGGCGCCCACCCCGAGAUCUACAUCAUCGGCUGCGCUCGGAGAAACCCAUCUGGAAACGCCUUCGGACGCCGGGGCAGUGCCGGCCGGGUCCAUCA
rnacentral:tmRNA from 1 species